rnacentral:tRNA from 1 species
GAAGAGUUAGUUUAAUAAAAAUAUGAGUUUGUCAUUUUCAAGAUGCUAAUGAAGUUAGUGCUUUUUA